rnacentral:rRNA from 1 species
CACGCCGUAAACGAUGAAUGCCAGUCGUCGGUGCGCAUGCGUAUCGGUGACACACCUAACGGAUUAAGCAUUCCGCCUGGGGAGUACGGUCGCAAGAUUAAAACUCAAAGGAAUUGACGGGGACCCGCACAAGCGGUGGAUGAUGUGGAUUAAUUCGAUGCAACGCGAAAAACCUUACCUACCCUUGACAUGGACGGAAGCCCGGAGAGAUUUGGGCGUGCUCGAAAGAGAGCCGUCACACAGGUGC